GACGAACGCUGGCGGCGUGCUUAACACAUGCAAGUCGAACGGAAAGGCCCUGCUUUUGUGGGGUGCUCGAGUGGCGAACGGGUGAGUAACACGUGAGUAACCUGCCCUUGACUUUGGGAUAACUUCAGGAAACUGGGGCUAAUACCGGAUAGGAGCUCCUGCUGCAUGGUGGGGGUUGGAAAGUUUCGGCGGUUGGGGAUGGACUCGCGGCUUAUCAGCUUGGUGGUGGGGUAGUGGCUUACCAAGGCUUUGACGGGUAGCCGGCCUGCGAGGGUGACCGGCCACAUUAGGACUGGAAUACGGCCCAGACUCCUACGGGAGGCAGCAGUGGAGAAUAUUGCACAAUGGGCGGAAGCCUGAUGCAGCAACGCCGCGUGCGGGAUGACGGCCUUCGGGUUGUAUACCGCUUUCGCCUGUGACGAAGCGUGAGUGACGGUAAUGGGUAAAGAAGCACCGGCUAACUACGUG
rnacentral:rRNA from 1 species